AAAUGUAUGGCGGAUAACGUUUACAAACAUGGAUUUUCGAAUAUUUAAGACCUUUCGCGACUCCUUACUAACCUCAAGUAUUAGUCAUGGAUAGAACAGGUUAUGCGAAUCAAUUUGAAAUCAAAAUGAUUCCGAUAGCUGUAAAAUAUCGACGUUAGUGUUGGUUUAAAAGUUGUAAAUGCGAGAAUGUAUUUUGUCCCAUCGUUGCCAAUGCACGAUAGUUCACUGCUCGCUUUCCAAUUUCUGAGGCAGUUAUGAUCUAGUAUACGUUUCAGUUCUUUAGAAAUGAGGUGUCCCCAAUUACUUCCAAUAUGUUAGUUUCAUCUUGUCUGGUGCAGUUGCCAUUGCAACCAUGGAUACUGCUUCUCAUCAAAAGUCUCUUGUAUGCAGCCGUAAAUUGUUCAGCUGUUGGGUUGUUGUUAAAGCCUCCUGAGGACCGAAUUGCUCCAAAGAAAAGCUCUAAAUGAUCUUGGCUGAAUUUAUAAGUCAAAAUAUAUUUCAUUGGUGCAUCUUCCUUUUCAACCAACUCAACAAAAAUUUGUUUUAUGCUAUCAAUUGCCACAAGAAACCCAACAAAGCCAGUUUUGCGACGGGUUGUGUACAUUAGAUCACCUGAUGCAUUUUUCAGACCAAUAAUGUAUUCACGGGCUUCAUCAAGAAAGGGUUCCCAACUAUCCUUGUUACUUUUUCGAAGAGCUGCUUUGAAACCUUUGGCACAUGGAUUGCGAGAAUUAAGGAUGUCAAAUAAAUGGUCAAAAGUUCUAAUGAACUUCACUGUAGCUUCUGAACCUUGGAACUGUGGAAGCUUUAGAGUUUCCCUACAGUAAUCAAUUGCAUCUGCAACACUGGCACUGAAAGUCUGAGCAGCAAGAUUAACUUUCAUCUUUUGUUGCCACCACUGGAUAUGUGAAAGCUUCAACUUAUUUCCAAGCCUCAACCCUUCUUUUGUUUGUAGUUUUUGUAACUCCGCUAAAUAUUCCCAACAAACUUUGUUUUCGUCUUUGUCAAAUAACAUGCCACCAUCCCCUAAAGUAUUUCUUACAAGCUUGAGCAUAUGACAUACAUCAAGAAAAAUGUAUAUCUUCUUCUCUUGAUUCAACGGAUGUGAGAAAUAUGGCCUGAUGUCAGGAAGUUUUAAUUGAGCCCCAAGUUCAUGCAGCAUUGAAAAGUGACAUGAUGGUCCAUCACAAAUAAAAGAAAUGAUGUCUACUCCAACAUCAUGCAACCUUCUGAUACACAUUUUAAUUAAAUUUGCUCGCUCUUUUCCACUCAAGCCAUCAAUGAAAAAGUAUCCAACAGGAACUUUCCAUUUUUUAUUCACACCUACAACCAUAAAGACAAGAGCAUCUUUGGCUAUUGGUGCAGAAUCAUCAUCUUGCACAUCAUUACCCAGAUCAACGUAGCCACGGAAUUUCUGUCCAUCCCAGGAUACAUGUUUCUUUAUGGCCAUCUCAUCUAUCAUGAGACUGCCGAUUAAUUUUUCUCCAUCAUCUUUUACCCUUUGUGAUAAUGCUUGAAAUGAUGGUUCUGUAAACCCUGGAUCGGCCGGGACCUUAGCAUACCACUUUCUGAUUUGAACAGGAUGGGGAAGUGCCAAAUUGAAUGUCUUUCGCACAAAGUUGUAUGCCUUCGCUGAGUAGAAUUGAAGAGUGAGUGCAAAGGACUUGAGUUCUGGUGAGUAUUUGCAUCCUUUACCAGAGUUUGAUGACAUUCUUUUAAAUAAUGACAGAGGUACUUCUGAAAAGUUUCUCUUUAACAUCUCUUCACAUGCAGAAGAAAUUAAAUCCUUUUUCUUUAGGUGUUUCACUACGUCCUUUAGGGAUGCAUUUCUUUUCUUGUAUCGUCUUGCUUUUUGCUGAUUUGCCUUAAGUUUCCUUUUCAGGGAAAUAAUUUCUUCAUGAUAAGCCCUUUUCAUCUUUUCCAUCUCAUCUGCAUACUUGGUUUUAGUAUAUAAUUGAUUUACUUCUGUGUCAAGUGCCAUCUUUUUGCAGGGGUUGGUACACAUUCAUCAUCUGUGCAUUCUUCAACUUCGAUUAUUUUGUCAUUUAUGCCAUUUUUAAGUCUAUUUGAUGUUUUAAUUCGUGACUUUUGUUUCUGAAAUAAAAAAUAUUUGAGCUUACUGUAGACUGCACUUCUGUGCAGUUGAAUAGCUGUGUGUAUGCCAGUCUAAUAAUUAUGUCACAUGUUAGACAGUCUGGACAAUAUGUAUGGAUAAUAAAUGUUAUAAAAAUUUAAUGCUCCUAUGAA